CUCUGAGGGCACUAAUAGGCCUUAAUGGCCCCAAUCAGGCUCACCUGGCUCUACCCUGCAUCCUUUGCCCAUGGGCCCAGGAGCUGCAUUUUGGCCUCUGUUGUUGUGCUGGAAGUCAUUUAUUGCUUCUGGUCCAGGACACAGGGUGAUCGCCUGCAGCGAUGAGGAAGGAACCAACUACAAGCUGGGCUGCUGCCAAAGAUUCAAGAAGAUUCAAGAAUCCUUCAAAUUGUACCAGGAGGCACAGCAUGCCACAAGCUGGGGUUUUGGGUGGUUGUUGGUCACUGUGUUUUCUCAGACCCCGGUACCAGUGCACAGGAUUCUUUCUGUUCUCAUUUCAUUCGUUUAUAUACAUUUUACUCUAAGCCAGUAAUUGGAUAAGGACUUCAAACUUUUGUAGACAUUUGAUAUGAGUGUUGAAGGAAAUUUGGAAAUAUGUCAAAAAAGUGUCAUUCUUUAUAGCAUUCAGCACUUGUAAACUAUGUAAAAUAAAAAUAAU
rnacentral:lncRNA from 1 species